AUUGAACGCUGGCGGCAUGCCUUACACAUGCAAGUCGAACGGUAACGCGGGGCAACCUGGCGACGAGUGGCGAACGGGUGAGUAAUGUAUCGGAACGUGCCCAGUUGUGGGGGAUAACUGCUCGAAAGAGCAGCUAAUACCGCAUACGACCUGGGGGUGAAAGCGGGGGAUCGUAAGACCUCGCGCAAUUGGAGCGGCCGAUAUCAGAUUAGGUAGUUGGUGGGGUAAAGGCCCACCAAGCAAACGAUCUGUAGCUGGUCUGAAAGGACGACCAGCCACACUGGGACUGAAACACGGCCCAGACUCCUACGGGAGGCAGCAGUGGGGAAUUUUGGACAAUGGACGCAAGUCUGAUCCAGCCAUGCCGCGUGCGGGAAGAAGGCCUUCGGGUUGUAAACCGCUUUUGUCAGGGAAGAAAAGGGCGACUCUAAUACAGUUGCCUCAUGACGGUACCUGAAGAAUAAGCACCGGCUAACUACGUGCCAGCCGCCGCUGUAA
rnacentral:rRNA from 1 species